AGAGUUUGAUCCUGGCUCAGGACGAACGCUGGCGGCGUGCUUAACACAUGCAAGUCGAACGAAGCUUGAUUACGGAUUCUUCGGAUGAAGUAUGAUAUGACUGAGUGGCGGACGGGUGAGUAACGCGUGAGUAACCUGCCCUUCAGAGGGGGAUAGCGUUUGGAAACGAACGGUAAUACCGCAUAAUGUAUUUUGACCGCAUGAUCGAAAUGCCAAAGAUUUAUCGCUGAAGGAUGGACUCGCGUCUGAUUAGGUAGUUGGUGGGGUAACGGCCUACCAAGCCGACGAUCAGUAGCCGGACUGAGAGGUUGAUCGGCCACAUUGGGACUGAGACACGGCCCAGACUCCUACGGGAGGCAGCAGUGGGGAAUAUUGCACAAUGGGCGCAAGCCUGAUGCAGCAACGCCGCGUGAAGGAAGACGGUUUUCGGAUUGUAAACUUCUGUUCUUAGUGAAGAAUAAUGACGGUAGCUAAGGAGCAAGCCACGGCUAACUACGUGCCAGCAGCCGCGGUAAUACGUAGGUGGCAAGCGUUGUCCGGAAUUACUGGGUGUAAAGGGAGCGCAGGCGGGUGAUCAAGUCAGCUGUGAAAACUACGGGCUUAACCCGUAGACUGCAGUUGAAACUGUUCAUCUUGAGUGAAGUAGAGGUUGGCGGAAUUCCGAGUGUAGCGGUGAAAUGCGUAGAUAUUCGGAGGAACACCGGUGGCGAAGGCGGCCAACUGGGCUUUAACUGACGCUGAGGCUCGAAAGUGUGGGGAGCAAACAGGAUUAGAUACCCUGGUAGUCCACACUGUAAACGAUGAUUGCUAGGUGUGGGGGGUCUGACCCCUUCCGUGCCGGAGCUAACGCAAUAAGCAAUCCACCUGGGGAGUACGACCGCAAGGUUGAAACUCAAAGGAAUUGACGGGGACCCGCACAAGCAGUGGAUUAUGUGGUUUAAUUCGAAGCAACGCGAAGAACCUUACCAGCACUUGACAUCCAACUAACGAAAUAGAGAUAUAUUAGGUGCCCUUCGGGGAAAGUUGAGACAGGUGGUGCAUGGUUGUCGUCAGCUCGUGUCGUGAGAUGUUGGGUUAAGUCCCGCAACGAGCGCAACCCUUAUCCUCAGUAGCCAGCAGGUCAAGCUGGGCACUCUGUGGAGACUGCCAGGGAUAACCUGGAGGAAGGUGAGGAUGACGUCAAAUCAUCAUGCCCCUUAUGAUCUGGGCUACACACGUGCUACAAUGGCGUAAACAAAGGGAGGCAAAGCCGCGAGGUGGAGCAAAUCCCAAAAAUAACGUCUCAGUUCGGACUGCAGUCUGCAACUCGACUGCACGAAGCUGGAAUCGCUAGUAAUCGCGAAUCAGAAUGUCGCGGUGAAUACGUUCCCGGGUCUUGUACACACCGCCCGUCACACCAUGGGAGUUGGUAACGCCCGAAGUCAGUGACCCAACCUUUUAGGAGGGAGCUGCCGAAGGCGGGACUGAUAACUGGGGUGAAGUCGUAACAAGGUA
rnacentral:rRNA from 1 species